rnacentral:lncRNA from 1 species
GGAGUGCCCAAUACAUAAUGUCAUAAAUCAGAUAAUAUAAUAACAUUAUGACUUGUUGUCAUACUUAAUAUGUCAAAAAACCACGUAUUUCUUGUAGUGUAAUUUGGGAUGGAGGGAGUUGUUCACGUAUCAAGUUCCCAACCUCUUCUCAAUUUUCCUAGCAGAUUCCCUUCGCUCCAACUUGGUUAAUUUCCUAUCGCUAGUUAAUUGGAAGACCCAAGUACCUCAUUUAGAAUUUAUCCUAGUUUGCAAUUAAAAGCACCCGCCACAACAUUGUUCUCCACCUCAUCCAUGCCAGUAGUGAACAACUCACUCUUUGAGUAAUUUAUUCUCAUCACUAAUAGUUCUUCACAGCAAAACACACAUAACUCCUGUUCAAAGUUUCACACAAAAAAAUUGUGUCAAUGAGUUAAUCCACCCUCCACUGACUAAGGCACCAAACCUGUUAAAAGUUCAGUUUUCAAAAUCUCAGCCAGGGCAUUACCAAUCAGGGUAAACCACAUUUAUAGUAACUUCUCAUACCGUACCAUAAACAUUUGCGGUAUUCCAAAUUGCGUAAUAAAGCCUAACAUUUGCAGUUUUUUGGUAGUGGACUCAUCGUUUUAUUGUAGGUGUAUAGACAAACGCAGCCUUGCAUCAUUCGCUGUGGGUUGUGUUCGCACACGAACACGUCACGUGUGCCCCCAGCGAUGAGCGCGAUGUGCAAGACACGUCGCAAGGGGAGUCUCGUCGGGAGCACGAUACGCAAGACACGCCGGCGAGAGCUCUUGAAACCCGACACCCCAUGCUUCUGGGAGGGACCCCGUCAGGGAGAACGGCGGUGAUGGGCUGCCCUAGGUCGGCGUGGCCGCCCUAGGACCUUGGGUUCGCUGUCGUAACGAAGUAGACGGCAACGAAGAACAAGAAAAAAGUAGAGAGAAAAUAGUAGUUGCAAAAUAAUGUAGUAGAUUGAUAUUCGGUUGUGUGUUGUCAAUCGGCCAUCACCCUUUAUAUUUGAGUCUGUCUAGUUGAUACUCAUGUGUUUUGAAGGCAACCAGCACAUGGGUGUUUUGUGCCAAUAAAACACAUGAAUUUCAAGAACUCAAAAAUCAUGUGUUUUUUUAAAACCUAACACACGAUUUUGUGCAGCCUAGGCAACACAAGAUUCCCACCAGAGAAAGGAAAAAUCAUGUGUUUUUCCUAAAGUAGCACACAGAUUCUGUUGUAUCUGUCUGUUGUAAUUAUCUUCUGUUUUUUUCCUAAAGUUUCAAUUCUGUUGUACCCUAUCUUCCUCUACCACUACAGGAACAAAAGGGAUGAAUCCUCAACACCGUCAAAUGGGAAAUAGUAAAACAAAAUUGAAACUCAUAGGUCACAAGAAUAGAUAUUGCACAUGUUAAAUACCAUAAUUGCACUAAUUCAAAUGUGCAAUUGUCUACUAAUAAAUGUGCAAUCUAGAAAUAGAUACUAACUGGUACAAAUCAUAGUUAACAAAUUUAAGGAUAUGUCUUAGCACAACAUAAGCACAAAAACAAGAUUACAAGAGACAAUUUUUUCUAUGGAAGAACAAUUUAUAAAAAAACAAUUUCUUCAUGCUUGAGGACCAACAAAAUCACAAAAGACAAGGACAAUUUUUUACUAAGGAAGGACAAAUCAUAUUUUUUUCAUCCUAAAAUAAUCACAGAGAGAGGGGGAAGGACCGGCACAAACACAAAAUACAAGAGACAAAUAUUUUUUCUAUGGAAGGACAAUUUACAAAUUUUGUUUGUUCAUCCUUACACAAUCACUGAAAGAGGGGGGACGACCAGCACAAUCACAAAAGGGAUGAAUCCUCAACACCGUCAAAUCAGAAAUAGCAAACAAAAUUGAAACUUAUAGGUGACGAGAAUAUAUAUUGCACAUGUUAAAUACCAUAAUUGCAGUAAUUCAAAUGUGCAAUUGUCUACUAAUAAAUGUGCAAUCUAGAAAUAGAUACUAACUAGUAUGAUUCAAAGUUUCAGCCAAUCUAGAAAUAGAUAAUAAAUGUGCAAGUUGUUGUGUGCUAGCACAAAUUACAAAAAGAUGUCAAUUGAUUGAAUGUUUCCUUUUUUUCACUUUGAAUCUGAGGAGGAACAAACAGCGGAACUUACAGGGCCAAGAAACUUGAUACAUUACUUGUGCAACUUUGAUCUACAAUAAUGCUCCUCGAAGUUGACAUCUUUCCCUUCUCCCACAUCCAAUCUGUUCAAAGAAUUACAAAAUGUGUGUAUCACUAGAAGAAUGACUGUUUACUCAUGUUCAAAGAAGUACAGAAUGUGUGUACCACUAGAACAAUGGCUGCUUACACUGACAGUGCAGCCAGCAGUGGUAGUAGAAGUGAAGGUUAGGCCAUACCAAUGUCGAGGGUUAGUCUGACAAUAAAAAAUGGAACACAAUUCAGUUUUUGAUUGCUCACUAGUAUAAUAUAACCAGCAUUAUAUUCUUGGUACAAAUCAUAGUUAACAAAUUUAAGGAUAUGUCAUAGCACAGCACAAGCACAAAAAAUAAUAUUACAAGAGACAAUUUUUUCUAUGGAAGAACAAUUUACAAAAAUAGUUUCUUCAUGCUAGCACAAUUAUGAGGACCAACAAAGUUGUAGAAGACAAGGGACAAUUUUUUACUAAGGAAGGAUAUAUUAUAUUUUUUUCUUCAUCCUAAAACAAUCACAGAGAGAGGGGGAAGGACCCGCACAAACACAAAAUACAAGGGACAAUAUUUUUUCUAUAGGAAGACAAUUUACAAAUUUUGUUUAUUCAUCCUAAAACAAUCACAGAGAGAGGGGAGGACCCGCACAAACACAAAAUACAAGGGACAAUAUUUUUUCUAUAGAAAGACAAUUUACAAUUUUUGUUUAUUGAUCCUAACACAAUCACUCAAAGAGGGGGGAGGACCAGCACAAUCACAAAAGACAAGGGACAAUUUUUUUCUUAGGAAGGACAAUUUACAAAAAAUAUUUUUUCUAGGUCAUGGAUGAAACUUUCUGUGCAAGAUAAUGUUGUAACCUUACUAUGUCCAUGGGCAUUAGAAAUCCUAGUCAAGUGUAGGUAAGAACAAAAUACCUAUUGGGGUGGCUAGAAACUGAAUCGCCAAUGCACUACCUAAUGAUAUGAAGGCAGCUCAGGACACGGUCUCAGGGAGCUUCCUCCAUUGCUAUUCCUCUGCUUAUGUCCUCAAGCCUGCACAACAAAACAGAAAUAGAAGAACAGUUUCAACCCUCCUCCUUUACCAGGGCUUGGGACCUGCUACGAUAGGACACUAUAGGUGGCCCAUCGUAGGCGGAGUUAAAAACUUUUAACAAUAUAUAUAUAUAGAC